rnacentral:misc_RNA from 1 species
GAAAUGCGAUAAGUAAUGUGAAUUGCAGAAUUCAGUGAAUCAUCGAAUCUUUGAACGCACCUUGCGCUCCUUGGUAUUCCUUGGACCAUGCCUGUUUGAGUAUCAUGAAAUCUUCAAAGUAAAUCUUUUGUUAACUCAAUUGGUUUCUACUUUGGUAUUGGAGGUCUUUGCAGCUUCACACCUGCUCCUCUUUGUUCAUUAGCUGGAUCUCAGUGUUAUGCUUGGUUCCACUCGGCGUGAUAAGUUAUCUAUCGCUGAGGACACUGUAAAAGGUGGCCAAGGUAAAUGCAGAUGAACCGCUUCUAAUAGUCCAUUGACUUGGACAAUACUUUUAUGAUCUGAUCUCAAAUCAGGUAGAACUACCCGCUGAACUUAAGC